CAGGGUCAGUGGGGCAAGAUUGAGGAGACAGGAAAAGCGAGGCCGGCAAUGGAGGGUACUGGAUAGUUGACCGGGCGGAAGUCCAGCACCGCCCACUGCACGUGCCCGUCGCCACGCGGCCGGCUCGGAGGGAGACGCGGAAGAGCAGAGCACCGAGACAACGCGGGUAUGCUGAGGGCAGUGGCAGAGAUCCAGACUCCCAAGAUGAUGCUGGAAGCCCAGUGUGGGGUUCGGUGCAGCUGCGACCACACUGGGUGAAGAGUGAGAAGAUAACGAUCAACACUGAUGGCCGAGAGGAAGAAAACCGACGCAAACAUCCCUGUGUACAAAAUGCCAUAGACCAUCUUGCACGUGGCCAUUCCAAAGCUCCAGUGAUCAUCUUGAAGAAAGGAGCUUGUGUUCCCUGUUUGGAAAGGAGCAGGAUGGAGAGGAGAAACCAGCAGCAGGAGGCACCCACUCUGCCUUGACACUGGCAUGUUUAUUAGCAUAUGGAUGCAUGGCGUUGAGUACAUUGGGAGGUGGUAAAUAUCAAGCAUGGAAAAAGUAGAGUCUGGAAAUGAGCUGCCUAAUCCUGUUGGAGAGAAGAUGGUCAGAAAGGAAACCUUAAGCCCCAAGUUUCACACUCAGAUGGAAUCUAUGAUGACAGGCCAAGAGGAACAUUAUUUAGUUUGAAAAGAUGAAGACUGACAGGCAGAAUAAUCUGCCUGUUGUUGAGAAUGGUUGGAAAGAACACUGACUUGGUUACCAUAGCCUAGAAGACAAUCACAUUAUAAGAAAAUCCUACAACCCAGGUAAUACAUGUACCAACUGACUGAACCCUACAUUUUCUAUUUUCCUCUUUCUAAUGCACCUCUGAGACUUCUGAGGAUCAGCCUCUGUGCUGACCUCAGUGUCCUGAUUUCUUUCCUGUUUCCUUUCCUCUUCAUCUCUGCACUCCCGGUGGAGAAAAUACAUCAAAACUGCUGUGUGGCUUCAGUGGUGAAGCUUGGGAAUCAGUUAUUUGUGUGAGACUUAGAAUUUUAAAGCUUUCAUUGCUACUGUAGCCUUAUUAAAAAAUAGGCUUAAAUUUGAGCUCUUCAUUUGGGGCUAUGCCCUUCUUCUACUCAGAAGUGAUCUUCUUUGCUUCAGGAUGAAGAUAAGUUUUCAAACUUGCUACUGCCUUUUAAAGAUGAUUUCCUGCCAGGUUUUCAUAGAUGUUGGGCUAAUUCACAGAUUUGGAACAACCUAAGACAUUAGUUGAUCCCACUAGUUUUGAAGAUUGGCAAACUGAAACACAGAGAGGCUAAAUGAUUUGCAGUAGGUUUUCAUCAAGAAAAAACCAAGGGCUCCAUCCACUCCUCUGUACUAAUUCAUUAAUACAAAAAGGGAUUUGAACCAGGUUCUUCUUCCUCCCCGCCUCCACUCUAUAUUUGUAAGCCCUACAAUUAGUAAAAUUCAUAAAUAUCAAAUAUAUUAGGGACCAGUGUUUAAUUCCUCAGCUCUCCCCCACCGCUGCCAAAAUAUGCACGAGGGCGAGUACCACCAUUAGAGAGCCUAACAUUUCAUUCUUCCUUUACUCUCCUCAGAAAGACUGCCAUUAGUUGUUUUAUAUAAUAGGUCAUUAAACCAAUGAUAUUAACUCCGUUGAGAGAGACACAGACUGUUUGAGGAAGGAAUUUCUCUUUUGUGACUGUGGUGAUGAUUUCACUCAUUUCACUUUUAUAUUUCAAAUUAGGUCAGGUGGUUGCAAGAGAAGAACCCAUGAAAAAGCCUCUUUUAUAUUGUUUUGGUGUGAUCACAGCAUGAAAUAUAUAGAAAUGCAGAAGCAGAUGGUGUUGCAGAAUCAAAUGCUUGAAAGUCUGAACUCACAGAUGCGUGUAAUUUUUAGGGCUGGAGGAGACCAAGGAGUUAACUUCAUCUAAUUCCUGACUCUAUAGGUGAAGAGACCUAAACUGAGAUAUUUAAGAACUUGUCCUAGAUUCCAUUGUUAGUUAAUAAAGAACUGGGACAAAAAUAACGUACACUCAAAAUACUGAUGCAUGGCUUAUAGACACUAUAUUGAUUGCGCAAGACAGUUCAGGAGAGAAAACAAAACCCUAGGUAUAAAUUUUAACUCUGUAACUUACCAUAUAUCUAACCUCUAGUCACAGUCUCCUCAUUUCUAAAAGUAUGGAAAAAAAAAGAGAGAGAGAGAGAAAGAAAACACCACUCUUGAAAAUAUUCUUUUGAGGGUUAAAUGAAGAUUCUAUAAGUAAGGGCUUAGCACAGUACCUGGCACCUGUGGGUUUUAAAUUAGUGAUGGUUAAUAUUAACAUGUAUGUUGUACCAGAGAGCACCAGCAAGCCCAGUGGGCUAGAGCACAUCCCCAAGCUGUGCAAUUCAAGAAACAUUUAUUGAGUAUCUAAUGCAUACUACAGAGUGUUCAAGACUGGGGAAAGCAAAGUAAAUAAUUCAAAAUAAUGUUUAGAGUUAUUUAGUCUUUAGUGUUUAGAGUUGUUUAAAAAGACGGUAUCUGAACAGAGUAGCUUAUGGAACAUUGAGGAGAGUGAAUCAUAGGCCUUGAAAACAUUAAGCUUAACAGCCUGAAAAGAGAUUGAUGCUUCCUUUGUCCAGGUUCCACUCCUUUCAAGAUCACUUCUUACUACCUUCCACCUCCCCAGCAGAAGAACAGCAGUAGGAACAACAAUACGUGUAUUAGCCUAGUGAUUUUCCUUCUGGGUAAAGUCAGAAAUCACUUGGAGGUCUUUAAAUAAAAAUGCAGAGUAUCCCUGAGAUUUAAUUCACUUGUGUAAUAUUUACCAAGCACUGUUCUUGCCACUGGGGAUAUAGAAUAAACAAGAAGAUCUUUGUUCUUAUGGAACUUAUUUUCCAGUGGGGAAAGAUGGACAAUAAACCAGUAAUUAAAGAAAUAUUGUCUACUACCUA